GACGAGCGCUGGCGGCGUGCCUAAUACAUGCAAGUAGAACGCUGAAGAGAGGAGCUUGCUCUUCUUGGAUGAGUUGCGAACGGGUGAGUAACGCGUAGGUAACCUGCCUUGUAGCGGGGGAUAACUAUUGGAAACGAUAGCUAAUACCGCAUAACAAUGGAUGACACAUGUCAUUUAUUUGAAAGGGGCAAUUGCUCCACUACAAGAUGGACCUGCGUUGUAUUAGCUAGUAGGUGAGGUAAUGGCUCACCUAGGCGACGAUACAUAGCCGACCUGAGAGGGUGAUCGGCCACACUGGGACUGAGACACGGCCCAGACUCCUACGGGAGGCAGCAGUAGGGAAUCUUCGGCAAUGGGGGCAACCCUGACCGAGCAACGCCGCGUGAGUGAAGAAGGUUUUCGGAUCGUAAAGCUCUGUUGUAAGUCAAGAACGGGUGUGAGAGUGGAAAGUUCACACUGUGACGGUAGCUUACCAGAAAGGGACGGCUAACUACGUG
rnacentral:rRNA from 1 species